rnacentral:tRNA from 1 species
GCUAAGAUAGUUUAUUAAAAUGUUACAUUGUGGUUGUGAAGAUGUAUUGUACUUUUAGCA